rnacentral:rRNA from 1 species
UACGUAGGGGGCAAGCGUUGUCCGGAAUUAUUGGGCGUAAAGCGCGUGUAGGCGGCCCUGCAAGUCGGAUGUGAAAUCCCACGGCUCAACCGUGGAAGUGCAUUCGAAACUGCAGGGCUAGAGUCCUGGAGAGGAAGGUGGAAUGCUUGGUGUAGAGGUGAAAUUCGUAGAUAUCAAGCGGAACACCGGUGGCGAAGGCGGCCUUCUGGACAGUGACUGACGCUGAGGUGCGAAAGCGUGGGGAGCAAACAGG